GCGGGGAUGCCGGAGCGGUCAAACGGGAUGGACUCAAGAUCCAUUGGCUUAGUGCCUACGAAGGUUCGAAUCCUUCUCCCCGCA
rnacentral:tRNA from 6 species